CAGAAGAUGUAGACGCAGAUUGGAGCCACCUUGGGCUCAUAUAAGUGCCAGGCACUGAAGGGAGAGUAUUUCUUGGACCUAGGCUGCUUCCUGAGAAGGAGUGCUGCAUAGCUAAAGAGCCCCUUCUCCAGUUGGACGUAAAUCUUGACAAAUAAUGAUCAACGAAUGGCAACAAUCACAGCGAAGCCAACACGGCUACCACAGGCUCUUCAACUUGUUCCUGUCUCCAGCUUGCACUGCAAAAUCAGCAGCAAUGGCAACCCAUUCUGGAAUAACGUUCAUCAAUGAACUGCACCAGGAGCUCAUUCAGGUUCAGAACUGCCAUGGUUUAAAAGAAUGCACUGGAGCCAAAAUGAGGGAGAAGGAAAGGAGAGGCAGAGGAGGAGACGGAGAGAGCAAGGAGAGUGUGCACCCAUCAUGACUAUGGACAGGAGGAGGAGAAGCAAUCAGAGCAGAAACUCAUAGUCUUUUGCCACUUGACUUUCAAAAAAGUUGCAAUUCAUUAAUUCUUGUUUUACUGUACCCCAUAAUCAUCUGCAGCCACUAAAAGCUACAGAAAAACAAACCGUAAUUGGGAGUAGCAUUCACUGGAGGCAUGGGAUAGACUCUAGGAAACCACCUUACAUUUUUCAUUUCUCAUUCAAGAGGCUCAUUUCUCUUUCCAAGAGGCAUUGGUGCAUGGCAUGAUGCAGAGCUGGCAUCUGCUAGAGAAGAGCCAGCAUGCAACUUUCUGUGCCUAAGCACUUUUAAAAGCAUCCACAGUGAGCCUUUGACCAGAGCAAAGAGAAGUCAUUAUGAGACCCUAAACCUCUGUGUCACCAAAGCCUGAGCCAGGCACACUGCCCUUGUAGUCUGUCCCAUUUUUAAAGCCAAAUGUGAAGAAGGACUUCCCCUUGCACCUGCAUUCCACAGUAAUGCCUAGUGGCUGCUUGCAACUAGCUCGAUCCAACAAAUAUCAUCUCUGAUCAAACUAUGUAGUAAAUUAGUUAGCAUUUGAAGGGCUGGAACAUAAUUAUCUUAACUACUAUACCCCUUAUGCUCUGUGAAGGAAAGGAAAACAGCUGUGGUAAAUUCACCAUUAUAGAGAAAUGGGAUGUCUAGUUUAAAAGGUAUUUUACACUUUUUUUUUCUGGCUCUCUCUACUUGCAGCAUCUCUGUGGUGAAUUUCUGAACUGCAUGGACUGGUGGUUUUAUUGCUUCCUAGCAAUAAAAUGAGGAAAUAAAGUCAAAUUUAUAAAUCAAUUAGCUGUAAAACAGUGCAGAAAUUACAAGACUUUUUUUCCUUUAUUUACUCCAGAAGGUUAAAAUCCUUUGCCCUAAACGCAGUCUCUUUCUUGUGGAAAUAUAACAGUUGUAUCUUAGGGUCAUUUUCUGUUGGCCACGUGAGCUCUGAAGAAUGGAAGUGAACGUUAUUUGCUUUUGCUGAAUUAUGGUAAAAAUGCCAACAGAAUAAAAUCACCUUAGCACUAGUGCACAAACAAUUUGGAAUAACAGCAAUCAGUCUGAAGAUUACAAGAGUAACUGUGGAUGAUGAACCUUACAGGAAGUGCCAUGCCAGCAUAUUUUGCCUUCGAGCUACACACUCUGCACACAUCAACAGCUAAAACUGCAAACCACUAGGACCAAAACUCUCUCAUUUAUUAUCUGUCAAACAUUACCAAGCACAAAUUUCAGUUCUCAGGCAUUAAAUGCAAAUAGAAUAGUAUUGCACUAUUGAUGUGCCACUGCCUUAUCACUAUGUUGAUCAGUUAUGCUCAGCUGAUGAUGAGCACAAAAUGAAAAUCAUUGUAGGCUGUCUGGCUGAGGAUAAGCUAGUGGUGACGUGCUCUUUUAUAACCCGAUGUGGAAAGCUUGAGGUUGAGUGUGAAAAGAGUUCAUGUGUAGGAAAGUCCAAUUAGUCAAGCUGAAAUAGAAGUAUCAAGGUCUACUCCAAAUAAACAACUCACAAAUCUCCUGAGGUGCAGGAACCUCUUCAGUCCCAUCUCAGAAAGAACAAAAUGGGAAAGAGGCAAAGGAAAGGAGAAUGGGGAUAACAAGAGAAGCAAACUGGUGCUCUUCCAGAAGGAAUGUGAGUCAGUGUUGUCUCCUCCUAAAGUCUGUGGAUUAUUUACCAGUGUAGCUAGCCCUUAAACCAGGAGAGGGCCUUGAAGUAGACACAUGAUGAAUUCGCUCUCUGGAGUGGGCUACUUGAGCUACACUCUUGCAGGUUUUGAAACAAGAAGAGACACUCCAGUGGAAAACAGUAUGAGCCAUAUCUUAAAUUUCAAUAUUUAUAUUUUCUAUAUAUUGCACUUGAAAUUCAGGCUGCUUAUAGGACACAAUUUUGAGAGAAAUGAAAUCUAGUUAUCAUAGUUGGGAAAUAAUGACACAGAAUUUAGCAAACAUUGAAGAGCUGCUUCGUAACAUUAAAUCUCAUCAUUAAGAGAAAGCUGCAAGUCAGUAACUGACACAGAUUAUAAUGCGUAGGCUUAAGGGGAAAUGAGAUGAUAGGGCUCUUAUACUUAAUCUUAAGUGGAUCUGCAGCCAAGUACUCUAAGGAAAAACACAGUAAGUCAACUCAGCAUCUGCAAGAUCAAUAUAAUUCCUUAAGAGGAAAAAGUUCUGUGUUUAACUUAUUUUUCUCCCACAGGGGACCGUGUCAGACUGUUGCAGGAAGCAGUAAAUUGCAGAGUUUGUGGACUCUGUUCAGGCACAACAAGAAAUCAUUGUAACGCAAGUGAUGAAGUCGAAACUACAGGAAUCCAGUGGAAACUAUUUUUCAUGCUCUGAAUUGCAGCUAGAGUUGUGGCUUUAAACUGUGUCAAACAAAUGGCAGCACUUGAGAUCCAGAUCUGCACAGCCUUAAGUACCAAGCUGAAUCCAGCUCUUACAGCCUAUAACAAGUCCAAGAAUAAAAAUCACUUUUCUUGGGACUAAUUUGUUUCCACAGAGUAUUUCAUGACUCCAGGAAAGCUCCUGUCUUUCUCAAUAAGGGAGACCUAAUCCCAAGCAGCUGCUGAAUUCACGUUCAAUUCAUGUGAGUAUGGCAAAGCACUUAACCUGCUCUCAGCUCCUACCCUGAGCCUUGCAGUGCUUUGUGUCUACCUCAAAAAGUUUCCAGUUGAUUGGAUUGAGUUCCACAGCCCGAGUUUCAGUUAACCAAGCAUGUCAGACAGACUCAGGAUGCAAGAUCUGUUACAUAAUAUAAAACUGUUUGAAGGUAAAAUAAAUAAAUAAAUAAAUAAACCUGGACUUUAGUGCUGAUCAAGAAUAUAUCGUAAUUAGGCCAGACGUCAGUCCUGGGUGCCAAACAGAGGGAAACAACUUAUUCCAUUGAGAGUUUCAUCUGCCAUGGCCAACAUUACAAAUGGCUCAAACUUCCAGUCUCACUUCUAAGAGUUUUUCCAGAAUGCUGCUGAUCUUCUUCAGGCCUUUAUCUCCAGGCUUGUACCUACUCAUGUGCUUAUACCUCUUCCCAAUGGUUUCAAAAUUCCCUCUCUAGAAAUAUCUAUAAUUUUUCUAAGUAAAAACCAUCUGUCAUUCAUUUCUACUACGUAAGUUUGGAUUACAGCUGACAACAUCCAAUGAAAAUGGGGCACUGGAAUUAUUACACUCCAGUGGAAGAAGCUUCACAAGUGAUGUUCAGUAAUAUAACAUGUGAGAAAAGGAAUAGAUCAAAUAAAGCAAGUUUUAGGAUACCGAUUCCUUAGAAUUAGUAGCUAUAACUCAUUAGAAAGCUUGAUGAGGUGUAAUAAACCAUGGAGAUUUUUUUUCUACCUUUCCUUGAAAGCUGCUUUUAGUUGGCAGGGCUCUGUAUAGCACUGUGCAUGUCACUGUGUGCAUUAUUAGCACUACAAAAUUGUUAGUGCUAGAAAAUUGCAUGUUGUGUUCAUGAAGCAUAGUGUACAAUAAGCUGCAACGUGUCAGUGCAAAUUUUACAAGACGAAAUAGCUCAUAAGAAGAUCAUAUGAAGAUGUAACCUCAAAAAAAACUUUUUUCUUUAUGAAAGUUGAAUUCAGUGAUUAUUCCAAGAAAACAUCUCUGUCAGAUUGCAGUAGUUCACAGAUUUAUCUCUACUUAAAACUGCAUUACAACAAAGCCAUUUUAAAACCUUUAAUACUUGUUUUAAUGAAAUGGUUUUUAAACACAAAUACUUCAAGCCCACAAAAAUGGAAAGCAGUUGUGAGAGAGAGACAGAACUAGAAAGAGAAACAUGACAUCUCCCAGUCUUUAUUCUGCCUUAUUCUUUUUAGAUUUUGGGAGGGAUCUGAGAGGAGAUGUGAACAGUACUUCCAUGACUGUACAGAAAUUAUACACUGUCUUGGUUGUACCAAUAAUUGUUCCAGUUUAGAGAAUUUGACCAUCCACAGAAAAGCACAGAACUGAUCCCAGUUAAACUAAAUUUGAAUCCUGUGAUUUCCCUUUGCAUUACCAAACACAGGAAAAAAAUAUGUCUGACAUAAGUUUAAUUUGCAACCCCAUUCAGAAAACCCUGUAUUCAUUUGUGCACACCUCUAAAGUUCAUACCUGCAAGCUCUGAGGACUAUAGGUCUGCUCUCUCAAUUUUGUACCUGUCACUUUCUGGUCAACACAGCGAUAAACACAACCUCAAAGUUAAUGAGGGGCUAAACCUUUCAUCCCCUAUCUAUGCCUGUGACAAGGCUCUUUGAGGUGGAAAGAGACACAAAAGCAUGUAAGUUGCACAGUUAGUCUCUACAGAGCAGCCAAAUGUGUAAAAACUGUCAAUGUCAAGUGAGGAGCAGGAAAGAGAAGAACACUGAUUAAUGGGUUAAUUAGAGAAAGGACAAAGUCUCCUUUGUUUUCCUUUCCCUACUUAGAUCUUCCCAUCCAACCCAGAAGGGUGCAGCCAUUUCAGUACCCCAUAUCACUGAGGAUGUAGAUGCUCUCAGGCCACAGACUGCGGGGCACCUUGUUACAGAAAUGUGGGCGGCUCUCAUUUGCAGGAAGAUUCCUCAAGGAGCCUUCCUGACCUCUUUCCAGGUAAUAUUCUCCCUGGAAAACCAAAGCCCAGAGCUUCCUCAAGGAAAUCUCUCUCAUGAUAUUCUUUCUCAGAAGUUAAAUGGAAGUACAGAGGGCAGGCCUUUCUUUAUGUCUUUUACUCUUGCAAAUGGAUUGCUACCUACAGCAUGUUCUCACUACAUCACUGAUUCCCCAUUCCAUUCAGUUCAGGUUAGAUGGGCAAUGCAAAUUAGUUGAGGAGCGCAGCAUAACCCUAAGCUUCAUGGUGAAAUUCUCUGUAAAUCAAGACCCAGCUUAACUAACAUCCUAGGGACCAACAGAAAUGGCAUGCAGAUACCCAGCUGACAUGGACCAGGACCAUCUCUUCCUUAAAAGAAGCUUACGUGAUGACAGUGUAAUUUUGUUUAAUUGAUGGUACACCUGGAAGACAGAGGAGCAUUGGUGUUCAGUACUUCCUCUGCCACUCUCAAUGGCAUGCAGACGCAAAGUGAAGGGCCAGACCACAAGCUGUGGGAGAGAAAUGAGAACUGCAGAUAGGCAUGGAAGCUCACAAAUACGGUGAAACAAUCCGGCUCAUCACACUCGCAACAUCACGCUUCCCAAGGUGGUGGACUGGUGACAUGUUUAUGAUGAGAAGUUUGAAGGACAGCAGUGAAGUCACUUUCCGUGUGUUCACAGAUUGCUAUUAUCACACAUAUUUGGAUAAAACAAGAGGUCAAUCAUAAGGCAUCACACAUUGGAUGGAGAUACCACAAUAGUGACUAAUAGAGGGGUGAAGCAGAGCCUUCAGACUGCAGACAAGCAGAUAGUGAAGGGAUGCUGAGGGAAGAGGGCUGUACUCAAAACUGUGGCCUAAGAGCGUAAUCUUGGCAGCCACACACUGAGGGAGCUGCACAAGGAAAAACUGCAGUUGUCAUGGAAAAGAUGCAAGGAAGAGCCUAGUUCGGUAUUUUAGCUGGAUAAAAAAUGCCUUACGAUUGAGUUGAUAUAAAACAGAAUCUGCACAAGCUACAGCACAAGCAUAGGUCAAACUGCAGACUGAACUCAGAUUAUGUGUGACAGGUUGGACCGUGGCAGUAUGCAUUGUGAUCAAGAAAGGAAAUGCAUUCUGACUUGGACUUGAGCAAAUACAUCAUUUUACCUUUCCUCCCACCCCAUCCCACCCCUGUUUUUGAAAGAGUUAGCAUGGAGUACUUGAUAUCUGCUGUAACAAUUUCCUGGCAUUUCUUCAGCUGUAGAUGAAGAAUGUCUAAGUUUAACUAAGCCAUCUUUAGAGAAAAAUCAAAGAUAAUGGUCAAGAAAGCCCUAAGGAAUUCAUCCAGUUGAUAACUUUCCAUACAGUAUCAUGAUUCUAAUCCUUGAUAUCUUAGUGCUACAGGAGGUCAGAGGACUAAAAGUUACUUCUGUCUACUUCUACGUGAAUGUAGAAAUCCUCUCUUUGCCAUAAUCUUAACUUCCUACUUCUUGCUGUGAAGCUGAGUUGGCCAGAAGACAAGAAUUUCUCCUCAUGAUAAACACUGAGGUUUUGGCAUUUGCCAUUCAGACAAAAAUGAGGGAUUUCAAAAUAUUUCACCGCAGGGGAAAGAAUGUCUGUGAGUUACUCCAGAGCAGCACUGAAUGCACUUGUCUAGUAGUGAUUCAAGUCUGCUCUUCUCCAUUUCUGUAGCUGACUUUUCAAAGAAAGAGGGGAAAACAUCCAAAUCUUCCUUUUGGAUUCAGCUGUUCCUCUGAAUAAAGUUAAAAUAGGAGGCUGAAUGUUUCCUUCUCUAUUUAUGAAAGGCCAUUAUUUAUGCAUUCCUAAGAUAAACUAUGGGAAACAUAAAGCAGGGUGAUUUCUAACGGAAUCAAGAAAGAUGAAGGAUGAUGAGAACAGUUUUUUGUAUCUAGUAUACAGAGCAUAACACCAGUUAUAAGCCAUGCAAACUGUCAUGUGACUUAAUACUAGACAUACUUGAUGCACAAAUGGUGACUGAGUACAAAUUUGUCAUGUGCAGCCAACAGGGACACUGGGGCAGGAGGUGAGCCCCUAUGCGCCAUGCAGCGAACAAAUCCAGGCAGCACUGUGCAGGGGAUGACAAAAGCACCUCAGCCCUCCUGGUUCCUCAGUGUUGCUGCACUUGCACCUGGGAAAAGCUCUGCUAAGAGAUGAGACAGCUGUGAUUAGGCGCUGCCAUACUGUGGUAACGAUCACACUGAAAUGAGGCCAGUGGUGAACUGCAGAUGAGGAACUUGUGCUCUGGGCACUGCCAUAUUGUUCACAGACAUUCUGCUCCUAGCGGGAAAGAUCCAUCUAUUCAUCCAUUGCAAUGGAUUUGUUCCUUCCCUCACUCCCACUCUGCUUUACCAAAGUAAACUUCAGGUUUGCAACAACUUAUCUACUUGAUAUCUACUUAUCUUCUCAACUAUCUACUGGACUAACGGGAUGGAGGCCUGGCUGUCAACAAUUGGUAAUGGUAUUCAGAGCAUGAGAUAAUCUAUUAUUCUAAUAAGAAACAUUUACUUUAUGAAAAUGUAGUUAAAACCACAGAACUAUUCUGUGUACACCCAGUAGACCCCGUGUAGUCCAGGUGUCCCCAAAAUGCCGUGCAAGGCAUUAGCCAGCAUAAGAAGAGUUUCUUUUACCAGUGGCUGAUUGCAGUUUCUUUUCCCCAGGAUACAAUGGUGAAGUUGACAAAACUAACAAGUGGUAAUGAGGUAUUCUGUAUACAGAAGAGCUUGUAACUUCAUGUGUUAUAUAUAUUUACCUGUUCAGCAUCAUAUUUCACAUAAGGAAUAGUACUGCCACCAAAUUCAGAUUUCUACCUUUCAUGCAGAUAAGUGAAAGAAUAUUAAAUAAGAUGUUCAAAGAAUACUGGAAUAAUAUUUGGUUUAUACUGUCCUGCAAAAAGAAGGAAUAAGUCUGAGUAUCCCACUGUCUCAGUGCACAGGCUAUAGCAAGCAAUGGAGAUGCCAACAUUCUUGCAAUAGCACUUCCUUUCUAUAGGGACAGGAUACACACAAUGCCAAAAAAAAGGAAGUAAAUGGUGUUCCAUAUGGUUUGACAGGCCCUGUUAAUACCUGCGGUUUUUAAUCUCUGUCAAAACGUGAAAAUUAAAAAAAUGCCUGUGUUUAUGUGCACGAGUGUGCUUUUCCACAGGAACAAAUCCAAUUAGCAUGUGGACACUGAGGAAAGAUUGUCAGACACAGAGCACUGCUGGCAAUGUCUGGUCACACGGGCAACUGCUGGCACUAGGGGUUUAAAAGGUAACAUAAUGAUUUCUUCAAAAGUAUUACAACAGCUUGGGAGGAAACCCAUUUUCCAGACAUCUGUGCAAAUGGAUUUUCCAUUCUCUUCAAAGGUUUUUUUCUAUCCCUCCUCUGUCUUCCCUCCCUGAGGCACAGAUCAUCAGAAAAAAAAUUAAAACAAUUCUGGAUGUUGCUUUUAUGCUAUCCCAUACAUAAAAGGCAUAAUGCCAUUUCUGCCAUAGAAGUCGCUACAUGCAGCUUUGCAGUAAGCUAGAAACUCAGUAAGAAAAAAGUGAACAAAUGCAUAUACAAAAGGCAAUACUUUAGGAAUUGGUGUUUUGUUGUAAUUAAGUAAUUAAUUUGUUGUAAUUAAAUUAAUUAAGUUGUGUUAGAGAAGCCAUUUAAUGUAAGGUACUGCUUCUAACCACUAAGUUACAAGCAAGGCUAACUUCAAGCAAUGCUUUCUAAAGGGCUGGAAGGAGAGAAGCUUGUUUUAUCAAAAAGUGAAACUGAUUUUGUCUUUUUUCACUAUUGUUCUAAAUGCUGAGGCUCAAGUGUACAGACUAUAUCUCUUCUCAAAGAAGGCUACCUACAUAAAAUCUCACAUUAGUUUUACAAUCUCAGAAGCCUAUAUAUGUGGCAGGUCAAGCCUACAUAUUAGUGAUUACAGGACCACACUGGAAAUUACACUUCCCAUAGCCACAUAAUUCUGUUUAAAAUUUCAAAUGUCUUAAAUUUAAGGCCAUGUGAAAUAUCAAUACUUUCAAAUACACACACUGUACAUAGCUUAUUUUCUAGGCAUAUUCUAAUCUUCCUGGCUGAUGAAGAGUCUUUCUCCCGCACCGGACAACAGAAGGUAGGUAUAGAAGCAGGUAUAACAGAUUCCCAAGUAUUGCCUCAGAAGCUUAGCAAUUUUGCGUGCAUUUGCUUCAAGAACAAGCAACCAUGACAAUUUAACGUCACAGUUAAGCAGCUUCCUAAUACAAACUGCAAUAGGCCCACUAGGAGAAGUUGCAGAAAGGUCUCAUCUCUAACUAGCAAAUGAGCUGUAUAAUUAGCAUGAACCAUGUAAGAAUUGAAUCUGAUGAGUAUUCUGCCAUCAUCAAUAUAGACUGAUGGUGACUGGUUAUUAGCACUUACUGUAUUAGGUUUUGCAUUACAGAGAAAUUAAUAUUUUUUCUCUGGAUAUUAAUUAUACAUUUUACAUAUGGCAUUAAAACAAAUGCUUUGCUUUCUCCACAUCGAGAAGUAUUAAUAAGUUCUGUACUUUUCUUACAGCAUUACACCAAAUGAAAACUGAUCUGUUCUGUAACUAGGCAUACCAGAAGCAAGCUCAGAGAGCGUACAAUGCUGCCCAAGAGAAGGAUAUUUAGGGCUUUGUAGAAGUAAGCUUUCCCAUGCCAUUUCUGUGUUCACUGUCCUCAUUGCUCACAGUCAGCCAAAGAACUCCAAGGUAAUCAUAGAAUCAAUCACAGACUCAUCUAGGUUGGAAAGACUGUUAGGAUCACAUAGUCCAGCCAUCUACCCAUGCCUGUGACCACUCUAGACCAUGUCACUCAGCAUGACAUCUACCCUUUUCUUGAACGCCUUUGGGGAUGGUGACUCCAAGUAAGCUGCUGUGCUGCACAUCACAUACUGAUCCAUAAAGGGUCAGUCGAUGGGGCAAGAAUUUCUCAUCAGCUGGCAGCCUUCUGGACUGAAUGGGCUCUCCAUUCCUCAGGAGAAACAACCAGGGAAAAAUGGAGAAGAUGCCUUAGUUUUCCACCAAAAGGAAACCAAACAUAAGCCUAAUGCUUGUGUUACAACUACAGAAGGAGGUGAGACCUCAAUCCCCUGGUGCGGGUAACUGCAGUUCAGGGCAUGUAGCCUUAGUUACUACACUCCCAUAUCUACAGCCAAGCUAGUUGCCUUAGAAAACUUUCCAGGGUCUAUGAAGAGAGAUGGUCCUUUUCAUUGAGGAAUUUUGUUGGGAAACACAGAAUUUCUUCCUCCUGUCAAUUUGUAGAAGCUAUUAUCAUGGAUUUGCAUUUAUUUUUUUUUACAGCACAUGUACUGCUGAGACCCUUGGGGUGAGCUUUGUGAUCAAUAAUAGUCCAUCUAUUUAAAAGAUGAAAAGUGAUAGAGAAAAUGAGAUUUAUAGAGGUUAUCCAGUAUUUCAACAGCCUACAGGGUGAUAGAGAGAGCAAAAAUGCAGCAGAGCUUACAUGCUGUGCCAAAGUGACUAGUGAAUCUGAGAUAUUAACAAUGAUAUUUCUUGUUAUCAGUGAUAUUCUGAAAAAAAAUAUAAAGGCUCUACUUUUAUUCUAUAGAUGGUUAGACCUCAGUGAAUACUUGGAACACAUUGGAGGAAAGGUGUAUGUUGUUGUAGAGAAAAACGAGCCAUUUGAUUCUUUUUCUUUCAAGACGUAUACCAGUAAAAGUAUUCAGAAAAAAAAACUUUGUGUUACUGAAGAAAAACAUUACUAAAAAAAAGAAAAAGACUAAAAGCAACUUUUACUCAUAAAGUUUCCAGUGUUUUUUUUUUUUACUGCCAGUAUUAUUUAUAUGGCUAAAAUGCUCGCAAAUGUAAAACUCAGCUCUAGAAGUUCUGACCUGUUAAUCUUGCAGACAGUGAGACAGCUCUGUAACAGUUAAUCUCCACAUUAAAUUCAAGUCUGAUUUACUUUUCUCUCCAACUUCACCUUUUCCUGAUUUCAUAAAAUAUCAUGUACUUAUGGCAUUAGAGUCAGAUCAGUACAGGACUGUUUUUAGCACAAAACGCAGAGCUAAUGACCGCCAUCCAUAUUUAUUAGGAGGGACAAGAACAUCCAGUGAUUUCCUAGACAACAAGGAGCUACCUUACAUUACUCAUCAGUGCAUAAGCAAAGCCAAAUUUGAGCAUAAUCGUACAGGCCAUGCAAGUUCUCUCUACAAACAAGAAAAACUUUAUGAGUAGAGUUAUAUUUUCUCUUAUGCUAUGCUACGUUAGGAAAAAAAAGUGUUUCAGGCACAGAAGUCCUUUUUAAGAUCUUGUGAGUUUUCCUUUCCCCCAAAUAGGUCUAUCCAACUAAUAAAAUCUGCUUCUCCCUUCUAAUCUUUCCUCUCUGAUAUCCUCUAAACAUCCUAGCUAUAACAACACUGCACUUUUUUAUAUAUCUUCUGGCUCCCCCUUCUCUACCAAAUGAAAUACGAGCUGCAUGUCUUGCAAAAACUGGUUGUAAAGCUACCUCUGCAUCCACAUUCAAAUCCCCUCUGAACCAACCAUGGGGGACUGCUAAAAACAUAAGCUGCUGAUGUGCUGUGACAGCUGGUCUGCCUCUCCCUGUACGUAGCCUGCUGCUUACAAAAGGCCUGCAGAAACCGGUUUUUCAUUAUUCGUUUUACUGGUUUCGCAUCUAGUCCAACAGGCCUCUGGUUCAUGACCCGAGUUCCUAAGUGAUAUCAUUAAACAAAUGGUAGUCUGUAUGCUGCCUGGGCAAUCUCUGUGUGGACUGCAUCUCGUGUUAUUUGCAUUUUUAUUUUUCUAAGGACAAAAUUUUUCGUUUUGAAAUAAAGACCUCCCUCCAUAUCAUAAACUUGGAUGUUUCCAAAAGAAGGUGUUCGUAUAAUUGCAAAUGACAAUGACAUGAAAAUACAGUUAAUUUAUAUUUUGGGCAUGUAAUUAACCUCACUUGUAGCACACUCCUUUCUUUUUCAGACUGCACACAGUUACUGGUCAAGAAAACUUCCCCCCCCACUUACAGCAGAGAAGUAUAUGCACUGUUGUGGAAAUUUCCCCCCACAACAGAGCCACUUACUUCAGACUUGCUCUAAAGCCUGCCAGUGUCAACCAGAAAUUUCUAUCAGCUUUAAUACACGUGAGGUUCUCUGACAAUUUUAAUGGAAUUAAUGUGGAAGAGAUUUUCAGGCUUAGAAAGACUCCUUAGUAAAGAGAGCUGGGAAAAGCUAACGUCUUGGCAUUGAGUUGAAUCUGCCUUAAAGAUGGAUGCAAGCCUACAUUCGUUAAUUUUAUGUACCAAGGCUCCAGCUUAUAAGCCUGCCUUUGAACCUGGGAGCCUUGCAAAGCUGGCUGCACAGUCAAGGGGCUGAGCUCUUUACCAACCUCCCUAGCUCCUUCAAAUGCCUCCCAAAGCCAUAAUACUACUCCUUCUGUUCCAAGAUUACGUGUUCCCAUACUAGGGAAGGGGCGAACAAAGUCCGAAAGAAAAGGGAAAGCUGGUCUCCUGUCAGAGCCUCGGCUUAUCUCAGCAGCCCCCUAUUUUUAACUCGAUUGCAAACGAUAUCUGUGAUCAAAGGGCCAGAACCCCCUGGAGGAGCUUAGGCGAACAGCGUGGUGGCCACAAUUCUUCCUGAUGAUUUGUAAGCAGGAAAGGACUUUUGACAUGAAAGACAGCUUAAACAGCACAAGAAUAGCAAUAAACCAGCUGUAAAAUGCUUAACAUUGCCCUUGAACUAAUGCAAAUUGUUCCAAACAAUUUUCUUUUCUUUUUCUUUCUUCUCUUUUUUCUUUUUUUUCCUUUUCAUUUUUUUUUUUUUUUCCUUUUUGCCGUCCCUAGAUGCCCUGCUGGGACAUUUAAACAGUCACAUGCUCACCAUACAAAAGCCUAUAUAAGUGGGGAAAUACAGUGUACUAAUGUGUUUAGAAUAAGGGAACCAAACAAGGGCCACAAUUCAGAUCUGCUGCCUUCCUUUCUUUUGUUCGAGGAAGUGUUCAUUAAUGACUAGCUUGUUUUGGAUACUGACUGAGCUUCCAGACAGAAAUGUUGAAGGGUAAUUUAUUAGCUUAAAAUACUCCAUUAAGCAAUUGAGGAGAUGGUUAACAAAGUAAGUAAAAACGGAAUAUUCUGAAAGUAAAUUAGUUGGGUCACGGAAUGUUUUAGGCGCUUAGAAAACAAGAGUAUUUACACUAAGAACUUCAGCAAUAGUAAAUGAAGGUAAUAAUAUAUGUUUAUAGAAAUCAUGUUUCAAGGGAGCGCUCUCUACAAUAAUUUCUCCUCACAACAACUGUACUGCAAGAGUCUUACAGAAUCCUUUAAAUUCACCUUUAAAAGCAUUUCUUUUUUUUCCUCUGCAUGGAUCUACAGCAGAUUUUUUGUUUCAAGCAAUAACACAUAUCCUUAUCAUUAGCAAUUAGUUACAAUCUUUUUAAAAACAUCCUAAAUGGGAUAAAAUAUCACUUUGUAUCAGUUAGAAACAGGAAGGAUCAAUGAGAUCAUUGCUUCAAUUUCCCAAAAAUGUUGAGUACUGUGAUAGCAGAUAUAUUAGCUUUUACAAAAAUAUCAGUAAUUAGAAGUUGUUUGGUGUGCAUGUGUGUUUAAUAAAUUAAAACUCUCUGGUACAUCCAUUCUCUUUUAUUUCUUUCUGACAAAACUUGUGGCCUUAGAACACCUUUAUUUUUCCUCAAAAUCUUUUUCAUUCCUCUCCACUGUUACUCAUGUCACUGUGUGAAAUAUUCAUAUUAAGAAAUGAAGAAGCAUAAUGAAAGAAAUGGUAUUUCAAAGAGCUCUUAAGUAGAGAUUUAACUCAGAUGGAAGAAAGUGUCGUUUAACAAGACAUUUGAAGUCAAACUAUGUUAAUCUUCAAUUUCUCUACUUUCUUAUUAAUUCAGUUAACUUCAGAACAGCAUGGUAUGAUAACACUACCAUUUGAACUCAACAGGUGAGGAGUAGAAAGAGAGCUGUGCAUCCAUGGUCGUAAAUACGAGCCGUUUGUGACCAGCCUAGGACACAACCUUGGGAAUUCACGUCCCGGUAUAUCAAGCCGUAAUUCUUCUGAUGUCAUCUCGGAUUUCUCUUAUGAUGACAAGACAUGCACUUGUACUAAUUCUGUGCUGAGAAUAAGACUUCUUUAGGUCUUAUUUCUGGCUAUGCUGUAACCAGUCCUUGUCUUAUGGUAAGCACUGGGUCUUAAGAGUUAACUAGCAUUCUUCAAGCUCCUGAAUUCAAACUACAACAUAAAGCAUUUAAAAUGUUUCUGACCCUCAAACAUGAUGUCAAAGAAAUGCAGUUGAUUAACAUUUUAUAUUAAGACUCAGAGUCGAUAUGCUUUAAUUGUAAUAAUCUUCCACUCAAUAAAAUUACUCUAUUGUUCUAUUUUAUGUAAAAUUUCAGUGACUUAAGAAAAGCUUCAAGCAUUUUACUGA